CCUUGGGAGGGGCUCUUUCCUUGCAAGUCAGAUUUCAUUUCACAGAUUCUUCUCUUUCGGAAUAGAAAUAUUGCCUUAACUCAAGUGCUCUGACUUCUCUCUAGGUUUCCAGCCAUUUCCACUGAUUGAAUCCUAAUUUGGUGGUGUUUUCUUGUUCCUGGAGUCAAGAGCUACGAAACCAUCCGAUUGGUUUUGCGUUCCAGCGGGUUCUGUACAGUUUCGCACGGUGUAGGGGUACUGUUAGAGCAUCUGUGAACUGUGUUGAGCAACCCACCAGUUUCAAAUGUAGAAUCUCUUAGUGAGAUUCUUAGUGUUUUAAAAUGAAAGUAGGGGCUCAGCCUUGGGAGUCAUUCUGACGCUCCAAUGGUCAAUCAUACUCACUUAGAGAGGUUGAAUCAUGUGGUGAGGAGUAGUAGGAGGUCCUUAGUCUUGGAGGCUUCCAGUAUGUCUCAAGGCGCAAAACGGACUAACCUCGUGAGUGUGGCAGGGUGGGGAACCCAAGUUUCAUAAGUCACCACGGGUGCAAGACUCGCCAUACCCCGACUAUCAUUUUAAAGUCCGGACGAGUAAGUCUAGAAAUUAACAUGCUUAGAUUGUAUUUCUGAAAUUAUUUGGUGUGAGUUAUUUCUUGUAUGUAUAUGCUUAAAUUGAGUUGCAUGAUUUUAUAUAAUUAGCUCACCCUUGCUUGUUUGUGUUUGUGUUUCUUGCAUGCUUUUUUUUUUGCAAUGAUCAUCCACUUGGAUGUGAGCAGAGGAGAAUGAGGCCUCAGUGGAGAAUGUCCUGGAGGGGAAUGGGGAAGCAGCUUCUUAGUCUCUCUAGGAAUUCCAUAGCUUUCCAUGUAUCUGAACAAUUCCAGUUCUUGUAUUUUGAAGUACUUUAGUAUUUCACGUUUUAAAAUUUCUUCUACAUUCCGAAUUACUGUAAUCCUUAAAUUUUAAUUUCUUAGAAUCUUAUUUGUUAUUUUAUUA